rnacentral:lncRNA from 10 species
UUUUUUUUGGUUUUUUGGGUGAGACAGGGUCUCUGUUGCCCAGGCUGGGGUGCAGUGGCGCUAUCUCAGCUCGUUGCAGCCUCGACCUCUUGGGCUCAGAUCAUCCUGUCACCUCUGCUUCUCAAGUAGCUGAGACUACAGGCUUGCGUUGCCAAGCCCGGAUAACUUUUUGUAUUUGUUUUUUUCUUUUAUUGUAGAGACGCGGUUUUGCCAUGUUGGCUAGGCUGGUUUCAGACUCCUGAGCUCAGUGAUCCGCCUUUCUUGGCUUUCCAAAAGGCUGGGAUUACAGGUAUGAGCCACACUGCCCAUCUUACAGCAAACAUUUUUUGAUGUCUGUUGAAUACCAGGCAACAUGAUAGACUUUGGGGUAAAGUAACAAAUUGAGAAAUACACAAUCCCUGAUUUCAAGAAAUUGGUCAUGAAGUGGAAAGAAGGAAUGGUUACUAAGAGGCUCAGCAGAGGAAAACAUGUCAGCCUAGAGGGAAAAUUUGGACAGAGAGACACAGGGAGAAGACCAUGUGAAGAUUGGAUAUAUGUUGCCACAAGCCAGUGAAUGCCAAACGUCACCAGCAAACCACCAGGAACUAAGGCAAAGGGACUACUGCAGUUUCCGUCAACCAAGUUGACACUUCAGGGAUACUUUUGUGACCACCAGGCAUUACAAGGAUCCUCAAAGUUCCCCAGGAGAAUCCUGUUGAAAAUGAAGCCACUAUCAUGGUUAAGAGGAUUUGAAAUCUAAGAUCAGGAGUGACUGCUUUCGGUGAAUACAAGUUUCUAAGACUAGAAGAUGGACAUUCUAAAGUUCAGAAAAAGUCACUUCUCAAAUCACUAAGUUAUGUUGCUUCCUUCACAAUGUUGACCAAGAAUCCCUUCACCCCUUUUCUUGUUAACAUUGCAGUCAAACAUUGAUUAUCAUGCACUUUAAUAAAAUAAUAGCCAAAUUGUUAUCUCAUUUCUCUGCCUCAAGUCUGUUCUUUUCUCAGUUCACAUUGCACACUGCCUGGCUUGGGCCAUUCCUUGGUUCAGAAAUCUUAAAUUGUUCCCCAUUUUCCUACAGACUAAAGUUUAUUUUCCUUAACCUAGCCCUUUAUUGCUCCUCCAAAUUUACUCGUCUCACAAACCAUCUUUCUAGCAUCAUUUCCAAUAA